AAUAGUUUAAUUUUGGCUAAAAAAAUGAAAGUUAAUUAAUCACAUAGCUUAUUUUUAUAUAAAAUUAAAAUAGUAUGAGUUUUAUUUUUCUAGUGAUGAAAUUUUAAUGUUAUACGAAAGUAUGAUUAAGAAUUAGCUUGGUUAGGGGGAUAAGGCACAGUGCCAGCAUCUGCGGUUAUUCUGUCUCCUAUAUUUUUUAACAAUUUGAAUAACCCAUAAAUAAUUAAUUAACAGUUUAAAGUUUAUAUUAUUAUUAUAAUUUUGUGGGUUUUUAUAUUUAAUUAUUUUUUGCAAAGUAAAUCUGAUACUUGUGUAGUGAUAAAUAUAUUAAAAUUUUAGUUAAACUAAAACAAUUUGGCAGCUAAUUAUUCCUAAUGGGGGAUGGUGUAUUGUAAAAGAUGAUCCGCUUAAUUUAGAUUAGCCUUAUUUAUUUAGUUAGUGUACAUCCGGUUAUAUACUUACGUUGUAAAACAAUUAUAGGUGUAAAAUGAGACUAUUUAUUUUGAUAGUUUCGUGUUUUAAGCUAGGUCAAUGUGCUGCUUAUAGUGAGGAAACUAUGCCAUACAUUAAUAAAAAUUUUAUUUUUCAAUAAGGUUUUUUAGGACUCAUUAGUAAGUUUAAAUAAAUUUGUUAAGCUGAAUCAGGUUUUAAUUAGGGUACACACCGCCCGUCAAUCUCGAAAAAUUUUGAGAUAAGUCGUAACAUGGUAGCUUUGGGGGAACCGGAAGCUAGUAACA
rnacentral:ncRNA from 1 species